rnacentral:rRNA from 1 species
AUUGAACGCUGGCGGCAGGCCUAACACAUGCAAGUCGAGCGGCAGCGGAAAGUAGCUUGCUACUUUGCCGGCGAGCGGCGGACGGGUGAGUAAUGUCUGGGAAACUGCCUGAUGGAGGGGGAUAACUACUGGAAACGGUAGCUAAUACCGCAUGACCUCGAAAGAGCAAAGUGGGGGAUCUUCGGACCUCACGCCAUCGGAUGUGCCCAGAUGGGAUUAGCUAGUAGGUGAGGUAAUGGCUCACCUAGGCGACGAUCCCUAGCUGGUCUGAGAGGAUGACCAGCCACACUGGAACUGAGACACGGUCCAGACUCCUACGGGAGGCAGCAGUGGGGAAUAUUGCACAAUGGGCGCAAGCCUGAUGCAGCCAUGCCGCGUGUGUGAAGAAGGCCUUAGGGUUGUAAAGCACUUUCAGCGAGGAGGAAGGCACCAUACUUAAUACGUGUGGUGAUUGACGUUACUCGCAGAAGAAGCACCGGCUAACUCCGUGCCAGCAGCCGCGGUAAUACGGAGGGUGCAAGCGUUAAUCGGAAUUACUGGGCGUAAAGCGCACGCAGGCGGUUUGUUAAGUCAGAUGUGAAAUCCCCGCGCUUAACGUGGGAACUGCAUUUGAAACUGGCAAGCUAGAGUCUUGUAGAGGGGGGUAGAAUUCCAGGUGUAGCGGUGAAAUGCGUAGAGAUCUGGAGGAAUACCGGUGGCGAAGGCGGGCCCCCUGCGACAAGACUGACGCGUGGGGCGAAAGGUGGGGAGCCCACAGGAUAAAAGCCCUUGUACUCCGGGGGCGAACUUACUUGGAUAUCGGCUGAGGAGACCCGGCGCCGCGUUCGUGUUUUUUAUACGAUUUUGUACGAUAAAGGGGGGGUUAUAUAGCCUGGCA